AUUAUUCCAAAGAAAUAACAUUU
rnacentral:piRNA from 1 species